GAUGAACGCUGGCGGCGUGCCUAACACAUGCAAGUCGAGCGAUUUACUUCGGUAAAGAGCGGCGGACGGGUGAGUAACGCGUGGGUAACCUGCCCUGUACACACGGAUAACAUACCGAAAGGUAUGCUAAUACGAGAUAAAAUACUUUUAUCGCAUGGUAGAAGUAUCAAAGCUUUUGCGGUACAGGAUGGACCCGCGUCUGAUUAGCUAGUUGGUAAGGUAACGGCUUACCAAGGCGACGAUCAGUAGCCGACCUGAGAGGGUGAUCGGCCACAUUGGAACUGAGACACGGUCCAUACUCCUACGGGAGGCAGCAGUAGGGAAUCUUCGGCAAUGGGCGAAAGCCUGACCGAGCAACGCCGCGUGAAUGAAGAAGGCCUUCGGGUUGUAAAAUUCUGUUAUAAGGGAAGAAAGGUGAUAGGAGGAAAUGACUAUCAAUUGACGGUACCUUAUGAGAAAGCCACGGCUAACUACGUGCCAGCAGCCGCGGUAAUACGUAGGUGGCAAGCGUUAUCCGGAAUUAUUGGGCGUAAAGAGCGCGCAGGUGGUUAAUUAAGUCUGAUGUGAAAGCCCACGGCUUAACCGUGGAGGGUCAUUGGAAACUGAUUGACUUGAGUGCAGAAGAGGGAAGUGGAAUUCCAUGUGUAGCGGUGAAAUGCGUAGAGAUAUGGAGGAACACCAGUGGCGAAGGCG
rnacentral:rRNA from 1 species